rnacentral:tRNA from 1 species
GGGCGGUUAGCUCAGCGGUAGAGCACUGCUUUCACACGGCAGGGGUCGCAGGUUCAAGCCCUGCACCGCCCACCA